ACUCCCUGGAGCGAGGAUAAGAGACUCCGUGACAAAGAGACUUGGUCGUGGGGACAAGAAAUAAUCUUCAUUCGAGUCAACUCAACCCUAAUGAAGCAGCUACUACUGUGUGCCAGAGACGGAGGGGAAAGUAAUAUGGAAAAAAGAGACCCCGCUUUCAAAGGAUUUAGUCACCAUCGCCUGCUACAGACUGAACUUAACAGAACAUUUGUUGAGCAUUUGACAUCGGUUCCCGAAGGAUCUCCAUACAAAUUCCGCUCUUGAUACCAAAGGAGACUACAUGCUUGGGAAGAUUUAUCAGGAAGACUGAGAGAUUGGCCAUGAAGUGGAAGCAGUGGGCGAUCUGCCAUUGCAGGCGAUAAUUUUUACCAGAAGAGGAUGGCAGUGUCAUAACCAUGCAGUCAUCCAACCUGCCUUGCAUUUUAUUGGCUUAGCAGCAACUGGGCUUCUACCAGUCAGAUUACUUUUGGGUGUGACUGGUUCAUUCAUUCAGCUGGUGCUCUUGCCGGAGAGAGACCAGGCCAAGACUGCAGUUUGAUGUCCUUGCUAGAACCGAGGAGGACUUACACAAAGUAACCAGCUAACCAGAUUAAAGACUGAGUAGCUCCACACAACCUGUUCCCACUACAAAUGAAUGAAUAAACUGAAUAAAUAAUGA